UCCCUGUUUUUAACAGAUUAAAAAUGACUAUUGUUAUGUUCACUUUUUGUGGCAUAGAAUGUCACUUUUUUGAACAAGUGGUACGAAAAACUUAUUAUAACUUUUAAGAUUAAG